GGAGAAUAUUAAUGGUGCCAGUGGAGUUUUUUUGUUUUUGUUUUUUUUUUUUUGUAUUUUGUUAUUUUUUUUGUUUAAUUCCAGAAAAUGACCAAAGAUCAUUUGGUAGAAGAGAAAGCUUCUCUUCAGAAAAGUCUUCUUUACUAUGAAAGUCAACAUGGAAGGCCGGUAAUAUCUCUCUUGCUAAAAAGAUUUGAUUUUAUGUCUUAAAAAAGAACAUGAAUCAAUUUUGUGGCCUACAUUCUUCAGGGCUGUUUUUUGAGCAUUAUUUCCUACAAUUGGGGGAUUGCCUAUGUAUUUAAUAUAAAAUUUGAAAUUGGGCGAAUAAGUCAUUGUUUAAUGUUUUGGACAUUUUAGAUUUGUGAUGACUAGACAAUUUCUUUUUUUUCUUGCUUCAGGUGACCAAGGAAGAAAGGCACAUUGUUAAACCUCUCUAUGAUAGAUACAGGCUUGUAAAACAAAUGCUGACAAGAGCUAGCAUCACUCCUGUCCUUGGAUCUCCAUCCACCAAGCGAA
rnacentral:lncRNA from 1 species